UUUCCGUGGGUGAACCUGCGGAAGGAUCAUUAUUGUAUAACCGAGGUGCGUGGGCUGUCGCUGACCCGAAAGGUCGUGCACGCCCGAGUGCCCUCACACACAUCCAUCUCACCCCUAUGUGCACCACCGCGUGGGUCCCCCUUUGGCUUGUUCGGAGGGGGGCUUACGUUUUCACACAAACUUUGUAUGCAGUGUAGAAUGUAUUUUUUGUUUUUGCGAUCACGCAAUCAAUACAACUUUCAACAACGGAUCUCUUGGCUCUC
rnacentral:misc_RNA from 1 species